rnacentral:rRNA from 1 species
AUUGAACGCUGGCGGCAUGCCUAACACAUGCAAGUCGAACGAGUGGCGGACGGGUGAGUAAUGUCUCGGAAACUGCCCAAUGGAGGGGGAUAACUACUGGAAACGGUAGCUAAUACCGCAUACCAUUGGAUGUGCCCAGAUGGGAUUAGCUAGUAGGUGGGGUAAUGGCUCACCUAGGCGACGAUCCCUAGCUGGUCUGAGAGGAUGACAAGCCACACGGGAACUGAGACACGGUACAGACUCCUACGGGAGGAAGCAGUUGGGAAUGUUGGACAAUGGGGGCAAGCCUGAUGCAGCCAUGCCGCGUGUAUGAAGAAGGCCUUCGGGUUGUAAAGUACUUUCAGCGAGGAGGCGUUACUCGCAGAAGAAGCACCGGCUAACUCCGUGCCAGCCGCCGCGGUAAUAC